rnacentral:misc_RNA from 1 species
GAUGAAGAACGUAGCGAAAUGCGAUAAGUAAUGUGAAUUGCAGAAUUCAGUGAAUCAUCGAAUCUUUGAACGCACCUUGCGCUCUUUGGUAUUCCGAAGAGCAUGCCUGUUUGAGUGUCAUGAAAAUAUCAACCUUGACUUGGGUUUUGUGCUCUAGUCUCGGCUUGGAAUUGGGUGCUUGCCGCUUUUACGAGCGGCUCACCUUAAAUGUAUUAGCUGGAUCUGUCUUUGAGACUUGGUUUGACUUGGCGUAAUAAGUAUUUCGCUAAGGACAUUAUUCGGAGUGGCCUCGUUUCUAGGACGCUUGUCCGCUUUCCAAUACAAGUUCCACCUCGUGGACAUGACUUUUUAUUAUCUGGCCUCAAAUCAGGUAGGACUACCCGCUGAACUUAAGCAUAUCAAUAAGCGGAGGA